AGCAGCCGCGGUAAUUCCAGCUCCAAUAGCGUAUAUUAAAGUUGUUGCAGUUAAAAAGCUCGUAGUUGAAUUUCGGGAUCAAUAUGUCGGUCGUGCCUUCGGUACGUACUGGUAUCAUUGGUCUCUCCUUUCUGACGAACCAUGAUGUCAUUAAUUUGGUGUUAUGGGGAGUUAGGACUGUUACUUUGAAAAAUUAGAGUGUUUAAAGCAGGCUUUAGCUUGAAUACAUUAGCAUGGAAUAAUGAAAUAGGACGUUCGAACCUAUUUUGUGGUUUCUAGGAUCAACGUAAUGAUUAAUAGGGAUAGUUGGGGGCAUUAGUAUUCAAUUGUCAGAGGUGAAAUUCUUGGAUUUAUUGAAGACUAAUUACUGCGAAAGCAUUUGCCAAG
rnacentral:rRNA from 1 species